rnacentral:misc_RNA from 1 species
UCAUGCCGUUCAUUUUCUUAUACUCAUUCACCUCUAAAAAUAUUAUGACCACAUCCCUAUUUGCGUCAUAAAAAAAGAUAUUAAAAUGUCAUUUUUGAAAAUAUUAAUUAUCUGUACGCUCGAAAUCCGUAUUUUAAUAAUUUUUAUGUGUUUAAAAUGAUAAAUUGAUAUUUGUUUUUAGUGAAAUAAAUAGUAAAUGGAGUUUUACAAGUGUCCGUAAGCUAAUGUGUUGUAAAAGUGAGUGAUAAAUGCGGAAAAAACGUGAAUUACGAUUGACAGGGGUUUGUUUACCAACUAAGACUCUUCCAAAAAACGGAAUAUACAAUAAAACGUCACUCAACCGACAACCGGUUCGCAGUGCGCACUGCGCACCGCGCCGCGUGACCGCACCAAUACCGAUAGCAGUGAUGUGCAGCGGUGUUGACGCGAACGAAAAGGACACUAUCGUACUAAUCUCUCACCAUCGAAAUUGGG